UACGGAGGGUCCAAGCGUUAUCCGGAAUCAUUGGGUUUAAAGGGUCCGUAGGCGGUUUUGUAAGUCAGUGGUGAAAGCCCAUCGCUCAACGGUGGAACGGCCAUUGAUACUGCAAGACUUGAAUUAUUGGGAAGUAACUAGAAUAUGUAGUGUAGCGGUGAAAUGCUUAGAGAUUACAUGGAAUACCAAUUGCGAAGGCAGGUUACUACCAAUAUAUUGACGCUGAUGGACGAAAAGCG
rnacentral:rRNA from 1 species